UUAGGUCUGUCCAAAUGACCCCAAAGGCUAUAUAUCAAAUAUAGCCUUUGCAAAUGUAGCCUAAUCAAUUACAGAAAUAGUCUAUUUACACAUAUAGCCUAACUACAGAAAAUAAGCUAAUUACAAGAAUAGCCUAAUUACAUAAGUAGCCUAUUAGGCUCAGAUAUGACUCCCUUAUUGACCCUUACCGGUCUAAAGUGGGUUUAUCGUCAUCGCCUAUAUACAUCUCAACAUC
rnacentral:lncRNA from 1 species